rnacentral:rRNA from 1 species
UGGCGGCAUGCCUAAUACAUGCAAGUCGAGCGGACUUGAUGAGAAGCUUGCUUCUCUGAUGGUUAGCGGCGGACGGGUGAGUAACACGUAGGCAACCUGCCCUCAAGCUUGGGACAACUACCGGAAACGGUAGCUAAUACCGAAUACUUGUUUUCUUCGCCUGAAGGGAACUGGAAAGACGGAGCAAUCUGUCACUUGAGGAUGGGCCUGCGGCGCAUUAGCUAGUUGGUGAGGUAACGGCUCACCAAGGCGACGAUGCGUAGCCGACCUGAGAGGGUGAUCGGCCACACUGGGACUGAGACACGGCCCAGACUCCUACGGGAGGCAGCAGUAGGGAAUCUUCCGCAAUGGGCGAAAGCCUGACGGAGCAAUGCCGCGUGAGUGAUGAAGGUUUUCGGAUCGUAAAGCUCUGUUGCCAGGGAAGAACGCUCAGGAGAGUAACUGCUCCUGAGGUGACGGUACCUGAGAAGAAAGCCCCGGCUAACUACGUGCCAGCAGCCG